rnacentral:rRNA from 1 species
UGGGGAAUUUUGGACAAUGGGCGAAAGCCUGAUCCAGCAAUGCCGCGUGUGUGAAGAAGGCCUUCGGGUUGUAAAGCACUUUUGUCCGGAAAGAAAUCCUUGGCUCUAAUACAGUCGGGGGAUGACGGUACCGGAAGAAUAAGCACCGGCUAACUACGUGCCAGCAGCCGCGGUAAUACGUAGGGUGCAAGCGUUAAUCGGAAUUACUGGGCGUAAAGCGUGCGCAGGCGGUUUGCUAAGACCGAUGUGAAAUCCCCGGGCUCAACCUGGGAACUGCAUUGGUGACUGGCAGGCUAGAGUAUGGCAGAGGGGGGUAGAAUUCCACGUGUAGCAGUGAAAUGCGUAGAGAUGUGGAGGAAUACCGAUGGCGAAGGCAGCCCCCUGGGCCAAUACUGACGCUCAUGCACGAAAGCGUGGGGAGCAAACAGGAUUNGAUACCCUGGUAGUCCACGCCCUAAAACGAUGUCAACUAGUUGUUGGGGAUUCAUUUCCUUAGUAACGUAGCUAACGCGUGAAGUUGACCGCCUGGGGAGUACGGUCGCAAGAUUAAAACUCAAAGGAAUUGACGGGGUCAUAGCUG